rnacentral:rRNA from 1 species
GGUGGUAAUGCCGGAUGCUCCAUCACAUUGCAUGGUGUUUUGGGAAAGCCUUUGCGGCAUGGGAUGGGGUCGCGUCCUAUCAGCUUGAUGGCGGGGUAACGGCCCACCAUGGCUUCGACGGGUAGCCGGCCUGAGAGGGCGACCGGCCACAUUGGGACUGAGAUACGGCCCAGACUCCUACGGGAGGCAGCAGUGGGGAAUAUUGCACAAUGGGCGCAAGCCUGAUGCAGCGACGCCGCGUGAGGGAUGGAGGCCUUCGGGUUGUAAACCUCUUUUGUUAGGGAGCAAGGCAUUUUGUGUUGAGUGUACCUUUCGAAUAAGCACCGGCUAACUACGUGCCAGCAGCCGCGGUAAUACGUAGGGUGCAAGCGUUAUCCGGAAUUAUUGGGCGUAAAGGGCUCGUAGGCGGUUCGUCGCGUCCGGUGUGAAAGUCCAUCGCUUAACGGUGGAUCCGCGCCGGGUACGGGCGGGCUUGAGUGCGGUAGGGGAGACUGGAAUUCCCGGUGUAACGGUGGAAUGUGUAGAUAUCGAGAAAGAGAACCCCACCCCC